GACGAACGCUGGCGGCGUGCUUAACACAUGCAAGUCGAACGGAAAGGCCCUGCUUUUGUUGGUUGCUCGAGUGUCGAACGGGUGAGUAACACGUGAGUAACCUGCCCUUGACUUUGGGAUAACUUCAGGAAACUGGGGCUAAUACCGGAUAUGAGCUCCUGCUGCAUGGUGGGGUUUGUAAAGUUUCGGCGGUUGUGGAUGGACUCGAGGCUUUUCAGCUUGUUGGUGGGGUAGUGGCUUACCAAGGCUUUGACGGGUAGCCGGCCUGAGAGGGUGACCGGCCACAUUGGGACUGAGGUACGGGCCAGACGCCUACGGGAGGCAGCAGGGGGGAAUAGUGCACAAUGGGCGGAAGCAUGAUGCAGCAACGCCGCGUGCGGGAUGACGGCCUUAGGGUUGUAAACCGCUUUCGCCUGUGACGAAGAGUGAGUGACGGUAAUGGGUAAAGAAGCAACGGCUAACUACGUG
rnacentral:rRNA from 1 species